GCCUGCCUCUACAGCUCAAUGCGAGUGAUAGCCAACAGUGGGUCUAUGAGUAUGACUAAGGUUGGACAUCACUAGGAUUUUAGUAGGCUCCCUCUGUUGGCAAAGGACACUCUAACCAAUGUCACAACUGGAUAAAUACAGUCCAGGAACCAUCUGCUCCAGCUGCUGACUAUUGCUCAUCGCUCUCUGUGAGUCUGUCUCUGCUCAUCAUAGACUGCUCUCCCCCAGGUACAGGAUCCAUCCCACCACUUGUUCUGUGAUAACGUGAAGAGUGGCCCAGCAACAGUCACCUGGGUGCACCCAGCUGUUCUUCCAAGGAGUGGUUAACCUGCUUGCUCUGGGCAGUUUCCUCUAAUCUUGCAAGGUUCGUGAGAGAAGGUGCAAAAGUUGAUGGUGCUCCGAACAUAAAGCAACAGUAUCUCCCCUCUGAUCCGACUCGCAGGCAGUAAAACAGUCUGGGUUUUAUUGUUACAGGAUGCAGUAGAGAACAUUCAAUAAUAACCUCAAACUGAUCAGAGAAAUAUUGAGCAUGAUAUUUCCUACAUACACAGGCUGCCCUUGGCUUCAUGAAAAUCUGCCCUGCAACAUGCCCACUCUCUGUGCUGCCAGAAACGCCUGGGCAACACAAGUUUGGGCAACGCAACUUUGAGCCAUUUUGAUGUUGCAAAUGGAUGCUAAGAUUUAUUUCUUGUUCUCAACUGGAUCUACAUAACUGCCCCAUAACAUAAGUUCUCUGGGCAGCCUGCAAAACACAUAUAACAAUUAAAAUGCAAUAUGAAACAGCACUGGGAAAGCUUUGGCCCUCCAGAUUUUGUUGGAAAAGAAGUCCUGACAUCCCUGACCAUCGGUCGUACUGCCUGGGGCUGAUGGGAGUUGGAGUCCAACAACUUUUCAGGACCUUGGGUCUGAUGAUGGGCCCCAUAACAUCGCAGCCGAAAAAUGUGGUUCCAAUUAGGGAACUGGCCAUGUGUCUCCUUGAGAUGAAUGAAAUGUAUCUGGUUGGCCCCUGUGAGAACAGCAUGCUAGAUUAGAUGGGCUAUUGGCCUGUUCCAGCAGGCGGUUCUUGUGUUCUUAUCCCCAGCUCUCUUCAUUCACACAUGAUGAAAUCCUAAGCAUAUUUACUAUGAAUAAGUCUCAGUGAGCAUAGCUGGACUUUCAAGGAAACAUAAGUAGGAUCUGGCUGUUAGUUAAAGCAGUGGUUCCCAAUUAGGGGUCCGGAGAAUACACCCAGGGGGUC